rnacentral:rRNA from 1 species
AACGUAGGAGACAAACGUUAUCCGGAGUUACUGGGCGUAAAGGGCGUGUAGGUGGUUGCGUAAGUCUGGCGUGAAAUAUCUCGGCUUAACCGAGGCAGGUCGUCGGAUACUGCGUAACUGGAGGGCGGUAGAGGCGUGUGGAAUUCCGGGUGUAGUGGUGAAAUGCGUAGAGAUCCGGAGGGACACCAGUGGCGAAGGCGACACGCUGGGCCAUACCUGACGCUAAAGCGCGACAGCAUGGGGAGCAAACGGG